rnacentral:rRNA from 1 species
GAUGAACGCUAGCUGGAGGCUUAAUACAUGCAAGUCGAGCGGGAUUGGUAGCAAUACCAUGAGAGCGGCGCACGGGUGAGUAACGCGUACACGACCUACCUCUGACAGGGGGAUAGCCCUGGGAAACUGGGAUUAAUACCGCAUAUUAUUCUGAUUAAUAAAGGAUUGGAAUGAAAGUUCAGGCGGUCAGAGAUGGGUGUGCGUCUGAUUAGCUAGUUGGGGGGGUAACGGCCUACCAAGGCGAUGAUCAGUAGGGGGCGUGAGAGCGUGGUCCCCCACACGGGUACUGAGACACGGACCCGACUCCUACGGGAGGCAGCGGUAAGGAAUAUUGGACAAUGGCCGCAAGGCUGAUCCAGCCAUCCAGCGUGCAGGAAGAAGGCCCUAUGGGUUGUAAACUGCUUUUAUCAGGGAAGAAACCUCUGGAUUUACUCCGGAGCUGACGGUACCUGAAGAAUAAGCACCGGCUAACUCCGUGCCAGCCGCCGCAGUAAUAC